CACGCCGUAAACGGUGGGCACUAGGUGUGGGACCCAUUCCACGGGUUCCGUGCCGUAGCUAACGCAUUAAGUGCCCCGCCUGGGGAGUACGGCCGCAAGGCUAAAACUCAAAGGAAUUGACGGGGGCCCGCACAAGCGGCGGAGCAUGCGGAUUAAUUCGAUGCAACGCGAAGAACCUUACCUGGGUUUGACAUAUGCCGGAAACAUCUGGAGACAGGUGCCCCGCAAGGUCGGUAUACAGGUGG
rnacentral:rRNA from 1 species